rnacentral:rRNA from 1 species
UACGGGGGGAGCAAGCGUUAUCCGGAAUGAUUGGGCGUAAAGCGUCCGCAGGUGGCUGUGUAAGUCUGCUGUUAAAUAGUGAGGCUCAACCUCAUAAAGGCAGUGGAAACUACACGGCUAGAGUGCGUUCGGGGCAGAGGGAAUUCCUGGUGUAGCGGUGAAAUGCGUAGAGAUCAGGAAGAACACCGGUGGCGAAAGCGCUCUGCUAGGCCGCAACUGACACUGAGGGACGAAAGCUAGGGGAGCGAAUGGG